rnacentral:rRNA from 1 species
AGAGUUUGAUCCUGGCUCAGGACGAACGCUGGCGGCGUGCUUAACACAUGCAAGUCGAACGGAAAGGCCCUGCUUUUGUGGGGUGCUCGAGUGGCGAACGGGUGAGUAACACGUGAGUAACCUGCCCUUGACUUUGGGAUGACUUCAGGAAACUGGGGCUAAUACCGGAUAGGAGCUCCUGCUGCAUGGUGGGGGUUGGAAAGUUUCGGCGGUUGGGGAUGGACUCGCGGCUUAUCAGCUUGUUGGUGGGGUAGUGGCUUACCAAGGCUUUGACGGGUAGCCGGCCUGAGAGGGUGACCGGCCACAUUGGGACUGAGAUACGGCCCAGACUCCUACGGGAGGCAGCAGUGGGGAAUAUUGCACAAUGGGCGGAAGCCUGAUGCAGCAACGCCGCGUGCGGGAUGACGGCCUUCGGGUUGUAAACCGCUUUCGCCUGUGACGAAGCGUGAGUGACGGUAAUGGGUAAAGAAGCACCGGCUAACUACGUGCCAGCAGCCGCGGUGAUACGUAGGGUGCGAGCGUUGUCCGGAUUUAUUGGGCGUAAAGGGCUCGUAGGUGGUUGAUCGCGUCGGAAGUGUAAUCUUGGGGCUUAACCCUGAGCGUGCUUUCGAUACGGGUUGACUUGAGGAAGGUAGGGGAGAAUGGAAUUCCUGGUGGAGCGGUGGAAUGCGCAGAUAUCAGGAGGAACACCAGUGGCGAAGGCGGUUCUCUGGGCCUUUCCUGACGCUGAGGAGCGAAAGCGUGGGGAGCGAACAGGCUUAGAUACCCUGGUAGUCCACGCUGUAAACGGUGGGUACUAGGUGUGGGGUCCAUUCCACGGG